rnacentral:tRNA from 1 species
GCAGUGGUGGUUCAGUGGCAGAAUUUUUGCCCUCUGCGCAGGAGACCCAGGUUUGAUUCCCGGCCCAUGCA